GCAUCGGUAGUUCAAUGGCGAGAAUGCUCGCCUGCCACGCGGGUUCGAUUCCCGGCCGAUGCA
rnacentral:tRNA from 1 species